rnacentral:rRNA from 1 species
AAAACUCAAAUGAAUUGACGGGGGCCCGCACAAGCGGUGGAGCAUGUGGUUUAAUUCGAUGCAACGCGAAGAACCUUACCUGGUCUUGACAUCCACGGAAGUUUUCAGAGAUGAGAAUGUGCCUUCGGGAACCGUGAGACAGGUGCUGCAUGGCUGUCGUCAGCUCGUGUUGUGAAAUGUUGGGUUAAGUCCCGCAACGAGCGCAACCCUUAUCCUUUGUUGCCAGCGA